AAAAAAACGCUAGAUUUAGCUACGGAAUUAGCUACGGAAAUUAUUCUGUAGCUAUUCUGUGACGGAAUUACAACGGAUUAGCUACGGAAAUAAUUUGUUGAAUUUAGCAACGGAUUUAACGACGGAUUUCCGUAGCAAUACUUUCCCUACGGAUAUAUUCCGUCAUUAAAGUCAAAAAAAUUACUAAUUUUUGUUAAAAAAAUUUAGCUACGGAAUAACCGUAGUUAAAUCCGUAGCUAAACUAAAAUUUAAUUCGUAGCUACGGACUCUAUCUGUAGCGGGAUAUUGUGACUUAUUAGCUACGGAAUGUCCGUAGCAAAAUCCGUAGCUAAGACCAAAUUUCAAAUCUAAAGGUGCAGUCGCGGUUUUUCUUCUUCUCAUUUUCCCCUAAUUGCAAACCCUAGCGUUUCUCACUCUUCCGGCGCCGUUCAUCCCGUCGCCGCGGUUGCUCCGCCGUUUCUCUCAAAGUCGUCGGUGCCGCCACCGUGCUCGCUCACCGUCGCAGGCGCCGUAAGUUUCUAAGGCUUGCCUCUAAAAAAUUUGUAUGUUCUAUAUGGCAUAGGUGAUCUGUUAAUUAGUUGUUCCACAUUUCAUUUUUUGAUUUAUUGAGUGUAACUUCGAUAUUUCCCUUUUGCCGUCUGGGGAGCACUUGGGAGUUUUGGGCACAAUGCUGACAAAUUGCGCUUCUUUUCUGGCUGGGGAGGAGAAGUACCGGAAGGCUUGGGCUCAAGUUUGAAAAGGUGUAUCAGCGUCUUGGAGUUGAGUUGGAGGAGAAGCUGAGAGCACCUUUACUGAAGAAGAUGUUGCCAAUUACUUCAGUAACUUUGGACCGGUGCAGGAUGUGAGGAUGCCGUGCCAGCAACAACGAAUGUUUGGUUUUGUAACUUUUGUCAGUGCAGACACUGUGAAGUUAAUUUUCUUGUUCUUGUUAAACCAUAUAGAGAGAAGGCAAAGCUUGUUGAGAGGAGAUACUUGGAAAAUUUUGAUCAUCAAGUUUUUUUUCAGUCACACCCUACAGAUAUAGACUCAGAGCUUCAAACUGGCUGGGAUUCAUCAAGGCUGUUCCCAUGGCAGCUAAUGGAAGAACAGGAACACACAAUUGAAGUCGAGGCAAUGCGCCUUGCACAGCUCCAGUUAGCUGGCAGACCUAUAACCAGCCAGUCUAUCUUUGGUUAUUCCAUGGAUGAGCUAAAAGUGCCUGAAGGUCACCCCAAAUUUCCAUCAAGAGAACAAUUCAAUUAUCUGUUGGGCGUUUUGAACAGUGGCUCUACCAGUGAUGAUAACCCCAAGUAUCCAGUUAACAACUGUGGUGAUCAGGAGAGCGCUCAAGGAGUUAGUCUGCCGGAUAGCCCUUUUGCCUCUGCGGUGGCCAGCAGCAUUUCAGCAGUUAUAUAGUUGAAGAUACAAGAUUAUAGAGCUUAUAGAGAGGUGCUGGUUUUAGAAGGCAACACCACUAUAUCGGGAGAGAGUAGUACUUCAGCUAUGUCCGACAUUGACAAAGAGCAGUAUGCCACUCGCCUAGGAGAUGUAGAGGAGCAGCUUCAAGAGGAGCGAGAAAGGACAUCUCGAUUAGAAGAACAGGUUAAAGUUGCAAUGGAGAUUAUCAAGCAGUUGCAAGGGCAAUCAAGCAGUGCCACUAGCCAUCCAGAUCCACCAUCACAUGUUCCAUGAUUAUACAUGUGUUUUGAUUUUGAUAUCGACUAUCUCUAGGUGCUUGAUUUUGAAAUACUUGUUAGAUAUGUGAUUUUUAAACUAUUUUGGUUUGUGACUACUAUUUCUAGGUGUUUGGUUUUGAAAUACUUGUUAGACACGUGAUUUCUAAACUAUCUUGGUUUAUGACUUUGAUAUUGACUAUUUUGGGAUAA